rnacentral:rRNA from 1 species
GAUUGCCCUAUGUUGGGCUUACGCAUGCUACAAUGGCCGGUACAUGGGUUGCGAUACUGUGAGGUGGAGCUAAUCCCUAAAAGCCGGUCUCAGUUCGGAUUGGGGUCUGCAACUCGACCCCAUGAAGUCGGAGUCGCUAGUAAUCGCAGAUCAGCAACGCUGCGGUGAAUACGUUCCCGGGCCUUGUACACACCGCCCGUCAAGUCACGAAAGUUGGUAACACCCGAAGCCGAUGGCCUAACCACCUUGUGUGGGGGGAGUCGUCGAAGGUGGGACUGGCGAUUGGGACUAAGUCGUAACAAGGUACCGUAAA